AGGCGAUGAUGACAAAAUUUACGUUUCUCGAUUCUGAAUUAUGUAUAUUUGACAAUAUACAUAAUAGACCAAUUAUGCAAUGUUUCUACUUAUACAUUGCACUUUGAUGACAUUAUUUGUGCGUGUCUGAGCCUU
rfam:Morus notabilis contig12228, whole genome shotgun sequence.